UACGUAGGGUGCAAGCGUUAAUCGGAAUUACUGGGCGUAAAGCGUGCGCAGGCGGUUAUGUAAGACAGAUGUGAAAUCCCCGGGCUCAACCUGGGAACUGCAUCUGUGACUGCAUCGCUGGAGUGCGGCAGAGGGGGAUGGAAUUCCGCGUGUAGCAGUGAAAUGCGUAGAUAUGCGGAGGAACACCGAUGGCGAAGGCAAUCCCCUGGGCCUGCACUGACGCUCAUGCACGAAAGCGUGGGGAGCAAACAGG
rnacentral:rRNA from 1 species